ACUGAUAGAGUGAGCUUCGUGCCUACCCUGGCUGUAUUGCUCCAGAGGGACACAACAAUAUCCUUGGGAAACAGACCUGUGUCCAGAACUUGGCCAGAAGCAUCUAUUCAGGCCCAGAAAUGUCGGUGUAUUCCCACAGGAAACAGAGGAGCCUCCAGAACAACAGGGAAAUUGCUAAUUGUACUUCAUCUGAGUGAAGUCUGGCUGUAAAUUAAGGCUAAGCGCAAUGGAAGAGAACACAAGGUGCCUGAGUCUGGGGGCCUCAGAUUGCUGAAGGAGAAGGGGCAGAGAUUAGAUGGUGAUCCUACUAAAGAAUAAGCUCCCUCUUAUGGAUCUUUG